CAGUGACAGUCUCAUUUGAGGAAGCUGAAGGCACCAGAUGUGCAGGACAGGGGUGGGUAGUGAAAAGAAGGAAGGAGGCUGGGACGAGCAGGGAGGAGGCCUUGCCUAGAGCCCGGGAGACAGCCAGAGUUGCCGUGGGCUCAGAAUGGCAAGAAGGUGCUCCUGCGGAAUCCCAGAUACCUGGUUCCAGGAAUCAAACCCAGAGGAGCAAGAGGGUUUCGAUCCAAAAGUCACUGUCUUCAGGACAUCCCUCAGAACACCUUGUGCCCUUGUGACUAUUGAAUUAAUUAUUUUAAGGAUAUAUUAAGUACCUCUGUUUCCCGUUGAAACAUCAGCUGGAGGAGGACAAGAAUGAUGUCUGUUCUGUCCUCCGGGCACAUCAUCAGAUCAUCAUAAUCUCUAAUCCGGAUUAGAAAGAUGAGUUUCUAGAAUGCGAAUCUGCUUAAAACCUUUCCUCUUCGAACUCAGGGGAAAGUCAAACUCCUUCAGGUAGCUUCCAAGGCCCUGCCUGCUCCGGCCUCGUCUCCUCCCACCUGCCUCCCCCUUCCCUUCCACAUUCAUCUAGACCCAGCCGUCUUUCUGUGUACUAAAGCAGGGGAACUUUGCCUGUGAGGCUUCAGAUACGCUAGGUAGAUUUGUAUUCAUCCUUCAGCUCUGAGCUGAGAGCUGCAUGAAUUGGUUGACUGACUUUUCAUUCAUCCUCUUCUAUGUGCCAGGAAGUGUACUAAGUCCCGAGGAAACAGGUGAACAAGACAGAUGGGGGCCCCGGCCCCACUGUUCCCUUCCUUGACCACCCUCACCCUGAGGCUGGGGUACGUACGGGCUCCACGCCUCUCUGAAGAAUCCAUGGCAUUGCCUGAUCACACUGCUGUAAUGACUAUUUC
rnacentral:lncRNA from 1 species